UUCUAGAGGAAGUAAAAGUCGUAACAAGGUUUUCAUUGGUGAACCUACGGAAGUAUCAUUA
rnacentral:ncRNA from 1 species